rnacentral:tRNA from 1 species
UAUUUUAUUAGUAUAAGAGUACGUUUGAUUUCCAAUCAAAAGGUUUUUGAAGAGUCAAAAAUAAAAUAU